AUUGAACGCUGGCGGCAGGCCUAACACAUGCAAGUCGAGCGGUAGAGAGGUGCUUGCAUCUCUUGAGAGCGGCGGACGGGUGAGUAAUGCCUAGGAAUCUGCCUAGUGGUGGGGGAUAACGUUCGGAAACGGACGCUAAUACCGCAUACGUCCUACGGGAGAAAGCGGGGGGAUCUUCGGACCUCGCGCCAUUAGAUGAGCCUAGGUCGGAUUAGCUAGUUGGUGAGGUAAUGGCUCACCAAGGCGACGAUCCGUAACUGGUCUGAGAGGAUGAUCAGUCACACUGGAACUGAGACACGGUCCAGACUCCUACGGGAGGCAGCAGUGGGGAAUAUUGGACAAUGGGCGAAAGACCUGAUCCAGCCAUGCCGCGUGUGUGAAGAAGGUCUUCGGAUUGUAAAGCACUUUAAGUU
rnacentral:rRNA from 1 species